rnacentral:rRNA from 1 species
AUUGAACGCUGGCGGCAGGCUUAACACAUGCAAGUCGAGCGGUAACAGAGAGAAGCUUGCUUCUCUGCUGACGAGCGGCGGACGGGUGAGUAAUGCCUAGGAAUCUGCCUAGUAGUGGGGGAUAACUUGCCGAAAGGUAAGCUAAUACCGCAUACGUCCUACGGGAGAAAGGAGGGGACCUUCGGGCCUUUCGCUAUUAGAUGAGCCUAGGUCGGAUCAGUUAGUUGGUGAGGUAAUGGCUCACCAAGACCGCGAUCCGUAACUGGUCUGAGAGGAUGAGCAGUCACACUGGAACUGAGACACGGUCCAGACUCCUACGGGAGGCAGCAGUGGGGAAUAUUGGACAAUGGGGGGAACCCUGAUCCAGCCAUGCCGCGUGUGUGAAGAAGGUCUUAGGAUUGUAAAGCACUUUAAGUUGGGAGGAAGAGCAGUUAACUAAUAUUUGACUGUUUUGACGUUACCGACGGAAUAAGCACCGGCUAACUUCGUGCCAGCCGCCGCAGUAA